CCUCCUUUCUUCCUCCUUGGGGCAUCUUGGGCAAUGGGCGCAAGCCUGACCCAGCAACGCCGCGUGAAGGAAGAAGGCCCUCGGGUUGUAAACUUCUUUUAUCAAGGACGAAACAAAUGACGGUACUUGAUGAAUAAGCCACGGCUAACUACGUGCCAGCAGCCGCGGUAAUACGUAGGUGGCAAGCGUUAUCCGGAUUUACUGGGUGUAAAGGGCGUGUAGGCGGGACUGCAAGUCAGAUGUGAAAACCAUGGGCUCAACCCAUGGCCUGCAUUUGAAACUGUAGUUCUUGAGUGUUGGAGAGGCAGGCGGAAUUCCGUGUGUAGCGGUGAAAUGCGUAGAUAUACGGAGGAACACCAGUGGCGAAGGCGGCCUGCUGGACAAUAACUGACGCUGAGGCGCGAAAGCGUGGGGAGCAAACAGGAUUAGAUACCCUUGUAGUC
rnacentral:rRNA from 1 species